CCGGGAGGGAAUGCUGCCGGCCCGCGCCGGACAGUCGCCCCCGGGGAACUUAGCCCAGGGAAUCCAACGCUUCUUUGCGGAAAUCAAGCUGUCGAAACAAAUUAGGCUGGAAAAAAAACAACCGGUGACAGAUCUGCGUGGGGAGAGAUAACAGAGCCACAUUCUCCUGGAAAAUGGCUUUUUCUAACUCACACGCAUGGGAUAGAGAGGGGACAGGUCAUUUUGGCCGAACUGUGGAGUUAAGAGUUUGCUACUGUUUCGAAGAAGGAAAUAUGGGGCAUAAUGUCACAAUCAGAUAUGGCUGUGCAUGUAUUACAUUACAAAGGGAAGACACUCAUCUAAUUUAACUACAAGCAAUUACAUGUGAACUGAAAGCUGUAUAAGAAGGCAAGUCUCUCAUCUGAACGCUGUUUUAACCUCCUCCAACAACCUGGCUGUCACAAUGGAAUGAAGCAAGAAAACCAUCUUUCCUGCACAUAAGUUGAAGAGGCACCUAUGCUGGUGCAAAACCUGUGCCAUAAACAAAAUCCCUGACUCUGGUACAGCGCCUGUUGUUUAAACAGAGGGCUGACUACACCACUGCUCCUGCUGCUCCUCACGCCGCCUCAAGCUGUAUUUCUCUGAGGAAGACCGACUGAAAGCUGGGAGCAGACUCCAGUGUGCUCCUGUGCCUAUUAAGAGUCAGUCAAAUUUAAUAAACCAAUAAAACCAGUGGAAAACA
rnacentral:lncRNA from 1 species